rnacentral:rRNA from 1 species
UCAGAGGGAGGUAGANUUCCACGUGUAGCAGUGAAAUGCGUAGAGAUGUGGAGGAAUACCGAUGGCGAAGGCAGCCUCCUGGGAUAACACUGACGUUCAUGCCCGAAAGCGUGGGUAGCAAACAGGAUUAGAUACCCUGGUAGUCCACGCCCUAAACGAUGUCGAUUAGCCGUUGGGCAGCAUGACUGCUUAGUAGCGAAGCUAACGCGUGAAAUCGACCGCCUGGGGAGUACGGUCGCAAGAUUAAAACUCAAAGGAAUUGACGGGGACCCGCACAAGCGGUGGAUGAUGUGGAUUAAUUCGAUGCAACGCGAAGAACCUUACCUGGUCUUGACAUGUACGGAACCCUCCAGAGACGGAGGAGUGCCUUCGGGAGCCGUAACACAGGUGCUGCAUGGCUGUCGUCAGCUCGUGUCGUGAGAUGUUGGGUUAAGUCCCGCAACGAGCGCAACCCUUGUCAUUAGUUGCCAUCAUUAAGUUGGGCACUCUAAUGAGACUGCCGGUGACAAGCCGGAGGAAGGUGGGGAUGACGUCAAGUCCUCAUGGCCCUUAUGACCAGGGCUUCACACGUCAUACAAUGGUCGGUACAGAGGGUAGCCAAGCCGCGAGGCGGAGCCAAUCUCACAAAACCGAUCGUAGUCCGGAUUGCACUCUGCAACUCGAGUGCAUGAAGUCGGAAUCGCUAGUAAUCGCAGGUCAGCAUACUGCGGUGAAUACGUUCCCGGGUCUUGUACAC